GAGGAUAUACCUCAGUGGUAGAGCACAUGCCUAGCAUGUAUGAGGUCCUGGGUUCCAUCCCCAGUACCUCCA
rnacentral:tRNA from 1 species